AUGAGUUUAAAGAGAGGUUUGAAAUGGCCUUGUGGAUGAAUAACUCAGUGACCCACAGACUUGUCAAUUAGUGUCCAAGGCUAAUGGAAGUCACGUGACAUGAGUACUGGGAAAAUCAGGCAGGCUGUGGGCAGUUCUUGGUCCCUCAGGCAGACCUAUGCAGACUGGAAGCCAGAGCACGAAAAGCCAGAGUGAAAAGCUGGUGCUUCUUUUUGGGUUGGCCUGAGAGGAGUAUGGGGUCAGAGUGAGAAUGACAUUGAGAGUUGAGGACCACAAAGACCUAGCCAGGAAGAAGGUGUAGAAUAGCAAUACAAUAUACUUUUAAGUCCCUGACUUAUGAUAUUUGUGCAGAUAGAAGAAAUAAAUGAGCAAAUCAGAAAAGAGAAAGAGGAAGCUGAGGCUCGUAUGCGACAAGCAUCUAAGAACACAGAGAAAUCAACUGGUGGAGGUGGAAAUGGAAGUAAAAAUUGGUCAGAAGAUGAUCUACAAUUACUAAUUAAAGCUGUGAAUCUGUUCCCUGCUGGAACAAAUUCAAGGUACUGGUUUUAAUGAAACUUUUCUUCAACUCACGCUGGAGCCUGGAGAUAAUGUAGACAGACUCCAAAUAGCAGCACUUAUUAUCACAGAAACUUGCAGAGAUAAAUUCUAUGCCACAGUAGAAAAGUGUGAAAAGCGAGGUGCAUUUUGAAGCUGUCAGUCUUACCCAUUGCAUCAGUACACAUGCACAUAUACAUAUGACAGAAUACUUGUUUCUCAGGAAAUUGAAGAUCAUGAGAAAAGUCUUGACUUAUGUUGGCUUACUCUGUCAUGGCUUGUGCUAGGGAUUAGGUUUUCUGUAGUUUUUCUUUUACAGUUUUGCUCUUUGUUUCUUCCCACCUCAAGCUGGAGCUUGAGUUUAACUCCCAAGAAAGCCCUAGAGAUCCAGUGUCCCUAAUUCUAUAGAUGAAACCGAGGCUGUUUUCAGAAUGAUUGAUCUUCUGAAGAAAUGUAUUAAACUGGCAGUACACACAAAUAAGUGGUUUUAUUUAUGUUGAUUUGUACACAGAAUCUGUAAGAUGUAUGGACUUAAAACCAAGAUUAUAUAGUUGAUUUAAACAUAAGAAAAGCAAAAACCGUAGUCCAGGCAACAGGAAUUUAUAGUAGCAGCAUACAUAGACCACCAAUUUGAGCUCAUUCUGUACAUACUAUAACCUUUCUGCAGUAAAAAUCUAAUGGUUUUUGUUUUGUUUUUCCUUACUACUAUUAUAUUAUUGGUAUAAUAUAUCCUAUCAGAUGGGAAGUUAUUGCUAAUUACAUGAACAUACAUUCUUCCUCUGGAGUCAAAAGAACUGCCAAAGAUGUUAUUGGCAAAGCAAAGAGUCUCCAAAAACUUGGUGAGUUUUGAGAAGUCCAUUUGUUACUUUAAACACCUAUUUUUAAAAUAACUUAUGCAAUUUAAUGAAAAUUAAAUGAGAUGAUGUUAAGCAUUAAAUUUUUUUCAUUUCUCAGACCCUCAUCAAAAAGAUGACAUAAAUAAAAAGGCAUUUGAUAAGUUUAAAAAAGAACACGGAGUGGUACCUCAAGCAGACAACGCAACGCCUUCAGAACGAUUUGAAGGUCCAUACACAGACUUCACCCCUUGGACAACGGAAGAACAGAAGCUUUUGGAACAAGCUUUGAAAACAUACCCAGUAAAUACACCUGAAAGAUGGGAAAAAAUAGCAGAAGCGGUGCCUGGCAGGACAAAGAAGGACUGCAUGAAACGAUACAAGGUUGCAGACUUAAGAGUUUAUAGAUUGUUGUAUUUUAAAUUGUAACUUGGGUUAUAUAGCUCAUAUUUUAUGUCUAUUAAGUGGUUAAUAUAGUGCUUAUUUCAAUACCAUUAGUUACGGGGCCAAUAUUAUUAGGAAGAAAUGAACCACCUUAGAAACUUUUCUAGGCCCUGACAGAUACUGAAAUCAGUUUAUUUAGUACUAUCUAUCUUAGUUGUUUGAAUUCUUUACACCAAACACUAGAUUAAAAUGUCUGUUUUUAAAUUCUGACAACUUCUUAAAUCACACCUUUCUCCCUUACUAGGAACUUGUCGAGAUGGUAAAAGCAAAGAAAGCUGCUCAAGAACAAGUGCUGAAUGCCAGUAGAGCCAAGAAAUGACAAUCUUUGUUGUGUGUGCAUUUUUAUAAUAAAACUGAAAAUACUGU
rnacentral:sRNA from 1 species